GCCGGAUUAGCUCAGCUGGUAGAGCAGCUGACUUGUAAUCAGCAGGUCGGGGGUUCAAGUCCGUCAUCCGGCU
rnacentral:tRNA from 1 species